rnacentral:rRNA from 1 species
AAUGAACGCUGGCGGCAGGCCUAACACAUGCAAGUCGAACGGAUCCUUCGGGAUUAGUGGCGGACGGGUGAGUAACGCGUGGGAACAUACCCAAAGGUACGGAAUAGCCUCGGGAAACUGGGAGUAAUACCGUAUGUGCUCGAAAGAGGAAAGAUUUAUCGCCUUUGGAGUGGCCCGCGUUGGAUUAGGUAGUUGGUGGGGUAAUGGCCUACCAAGCCGACGAUCCAUAGCUGGUUUGGAAGGAUGAUCAGCAACACUGGGACUGAGACACGGCCCAGACUCCUACGGGAGGCAGCAGUGGGGAAGCUUAGACAAUGGGGGAAACCCUGAUCUAGCAUGCCGCGUGAUCGAUGAAGGCCUUAGGGUUGUAAAGAUCUUUCAGGUGGGAAGAUAAUGACUGUACCACCAGAAGAAGCCCCGGCUAACUCCGUGCCAGCCGCCGCCGUAA